rnacentral:rRNA from 1 species
GCGGCCUAUCAGCUUGUUGGUGGGGUAAUGGCCUACCAAGGCAACGACGGGUAGCUGGUCUGAGAGGAUGAUCAGCCACACUGGGACUGAGACACGGCCCAGACUCCUACGGGAGGCAGCAGUGGGGAAUCUUGCGCAAUGGGCGAAAGCCUGACGCAGCAACGCCGCGUGCGGGAUGAAGGCCUUCGGGUUGUAAACCGCUUUCAGCAGGAACGAAAAUGACGGUACCUGCAGAAGAAGGAGCGGCCAACUACGUGCCAGCAGCCGCGGUGACACGUAGGCUCCAAGCGUUGUCCGGAUUUAUUGGGCGUGAAGAGCUCGUAGGCGGUUUAGUAAGUCGGGUGUUAAAACUCUGGGCUCAACCCGGAGACGCCAUCCGAUACUACUAUGACUUGAGUUCAGGAGGGGAGACUGGAAUUCCU